rnacentral:rRNA from 1 species
UACGUAGGGUGCGAGCGUUAAUCGGAAUUACUGGGCGUAAAGCGUGCGCAGGCGGUUUUGCAAGCCGGAUGUGAAAUCCCCGGGCUCAACCUGGGAAUGGCAUUUGGGACUGCAAGGCUCGAGUGCGGCAGAGGAGACUGGAAUUCCUGGUGUAGCAGUGAAAUGCGUAGAUAUCAGGAGGAACACCAAUGGCGAAGGCAGCUCGCUGGGACGGUACUGACGCUGAGACGCGAAAGCGUGGGGAGCAAACAGG